AAUGCUGAGACAGACUCCCAGAAGAUCUGAGCGAGUCGCGUAGCUGAGCCCGGCAGGGGCUGGGGUGGUGCUGCUGCUAUGAGCUGCACCAUCGAGAAGAUCCUGACAGACGCCAAGACGCUGCUGGAGAGGCUACGGGAGCACGAUGCGGCCGCCGAGUCGCUGGUGGAUCAGUCGGCGGCGCUGCACCGGCGGGUAGCAGCUAUGCGGGAGGCGGGGACAGCGCUUCCGGACCAGGUCAGGCAGAGGGUAGGAGUCCAGUGCUCUCGGAUUCUGGGCACUGAAGGGUGGAGAGCGAGUAUCAAGAGGAUGCAUCCGAUAUGAAGGACAUGUCCAAAUACAAACCUCACAUUCUGCUGUCCCAAGAGAACACACAGAUUAGAGACUUGCAACAGGAAAACAGAGAGCUAUGGAUUUCCUUGGAGGAACACCAGGAUGCUUUGGAACUUAUCAUGAGCAAAUAUCGGAAACAGAUGUUACAGUUAAUGGUUGCUAAAAAAGCGGUGGAUGCUGAACCAGUCCUGAAAGCUCACCAGUCUCACUCUGCAGAAAUUGAGAGUCAGAUUGACAGAAUCUGUGAAAUGGGAGAAGUGAUGAGGAAAGCAGUUCAGGUGGAUGAUGACCAGUUUUGUAAGAUUCAGGAAAAAUUAGCCCAAUUAGAGCUUGAAAAUAAGGAACUUCGAGAAUUAUUGUCCAUCAGCAGUGAGUCUCUUCAAGCCAGAAAGGAAAACUCAAUGGACACUGCUUCCCAAGCCAUCAAAUAACUGAACUCUGAAUGAUGGCUGGAGAUUGUCUAUCAAGGAAGGAAGUUACUGUCUUCCCAUUCAAGUACUGUCCAUUAAGUGUCUUGCCUCAGAUUUGAUUUAAUCUUAAUUAAAGGUAUCAGGUGGCAAUUUAGAAUUCCAGUCAAUAUUGGCUGUCCACAGUUCUCAGAUGUGUUAAUGUGAAUACUACAUGCUGAAUUUCACCAUUCCUUUCUCAAAGAGACUACUUUUAAUUUUCAUUUCUGGGACCUUGAUUUAUAUAAACUAUGUUUUCAGUUCUUUGUUAUUUUUCACAUCUCUGAAACUUUGAGCAUUUUUUAUAAGCCAGCAAUUUAUUUUACAUAGCAUUGUAAAAUACACUUCUAGGAAAUUUUAGGAAAGAUUUAACUGUUUAAAUCUAUUUGGCAUAAACCUUGAUUUUUUUUUUCCAUUUGACAAAAAUAAUACAAUUCCACAGAACUAGAUCAGCAGAUUCUCUGAUUUGUAAUGUCAUUCACCUGUGACAUUUUAAGUCUCUCUGGUGCUAAGAAUUGGCACUUUAUAGCCUGGUGCCUUUACUUUUAAUUUGAGAGAACCUACUGCUAGUCCCAGGAAACACACUUGGAAAUAAGUCAGCUAUUUUUUUUGCCCAGUGAUGCUAUAGUUGUCAUAUUGUCCAAAGUUCAUAUUGUUCAAAGCUGAGGAGCUUGUCCUGUGUAUGUGAAUGCACACAUGUGCACUUAGUUCAAAUACUAAAAGUAGCUUUUAUUAAAUAUAAUCAGCCAAAAACACACACAAAAUAAAAAAAACAAAUAUAAGUAGUCAGUUUUUCAAUGUUAUCCUACUAGUUCUACAUUCUAUUUUAAUUUUUAUACAAUUUCCAUUUUAUAGUUAAGAACCAUCACUUACUUGGAUUGGAUGUCUUUCAUUCCUAGCACUAAUAGUUGGCUUUCUUUUUUUUUGUUUACAUAGAAGCAGGGUUUUUUUUUAUCUUUUUUCUUUUUUUUUGUUUAAGCUAUAUAAAAAGGUGAGGAAGCAGUUUUGUUACCUAAUGAAAAUUAUUACACUCAUAAUGCUGUGUAGGCAACAUUGAGAUUCAAAUGCCCAGUGGUCAACUGGGUUCACUCAUCAACUCAUUCCCGUCCCAGUUUACUCACAUUUCAAAUUUAUAAAUUUCUUCAUGUUAUACUAUUCUAUUUAGAUUUGCCCAGAAUUAGUUGAAAUAAUGCUAAACCUGUCAAUAUUUUCCAGUAACAUUAAGCACCAUACUGCAUGGGAGAGACACAGUACUAAAAAGAGUUGUUAGUGCUUUAUGUGAGUGAUAUUUCUUUCGUAAUGCUAUAAAGAACUACAGUUAAAAUAACAAAAUAUUUUAAAGAUGUCCUAAAAGCAUCUGAUCCCAGUAAUAACUAAUGGAUGUCAUCUAGAGCAGUGGGUGUUAAUGAAUAGGUAUAUGUCAUUUAAGAAUUUUUCAAAUUUCUGUUUGAUAUCCUGCAUAGAAUUUGACAAAAAAAACACUUCCAAGUGUGAGCAUUUUUUAUUUCAUUUCCCAAGAGUAAGUAAGUAACUAUUAGCCCAGCCAUCUGCCUCGAAGUAUACCUUAAGUGACCCCAUAAAUCCAUUCAAGAGGCAGGUACUCUAUACCAUUUGGCAGCCACGGCCAAACCUACCAUGGCCAGAUUUCAGUGAAAAUGAUGAAGUAAUCAAAUCAAGGUAUAAUAUGGUGUCCCUUUAUGUGCUUUAUGUUCCUUUAGAGCUGUUUAUAAAGUUCUUUAUAUCUCAAGUGUUAGGAUAAAUCGACAUACUAACUUUUCCCCCUGCAAAAUUAAAAGCCUGAGGUACAAGUCUAAGAAGCUUUUAGUGCUCUACAUAAUAUAAAUUCUGGCUGGUGUUAAUGCUAUGAAGAUAAUAUGUAGUUAGAAAAUUGAGUCGGGGAGGAAUGCUCUUCAUUUUAAGUGGAUUUUAAAGUUUCUCCUUGAGUGGAUGAAGAACUUGCCUGGUUUGCAAAAAUCUUAGUUCAAAAUUAUAUUUUCUAACAAAAACUGCAUUUUGAGAAGAUAAGCUAAUUUUACUCAGUAGUAAGUCAAAUGAGGAAGUGCAGAGGGUUUUUUUACAUAUAUAUAGCAACCUUGUCAAGUGGUCCUCACAAGAGUCAUAAAUACUUUGUAAUUAGCACAGUAUAUUCAGCAGUGUAUAACUCUACAAAUAGUACCUUAUAUUAGUGUAGUAUUAUAUCAAUAUCUUAUGUAUAAUUCUUAUAUUAAUACCUUAUGCAUAAUUGGAUUCAAACAUUGAAGGUCUAUUUUAGUGUUCUUCAAAAUGUGCUUCCCUGACCUACUGAAAUAGAAACUUGGUGAUGAAGUUCAAGAAUUUGUAUUCUAAUCAUCUCAAACAAUUCCUAAAGACACUGAUUUUAAAAUAUCUAGUCUAGGCCCCAUUGUGUAAUAGUUAGCACUCUAAAAGAUGAAAAAGAAAAUAGUCUAUGUGCCAACCACUUCAUUAGUACUUAUGAAUUUAAAAAUGAAAAAGUCUGGUACAGGAGACAAGUAUAUAUAUAAAAUUAUAAUGCAGUGUGAUAAAUCCAUUAUAGUAUGUAUAAGAUACAGAAGAGGGACUUUAAACUUGAGAAUUCAAUAGAGAUAAUAAAUGGGUAGGAGGGAAAUAGAAAACUUUGGUGCCACAAAAGCAAAGUAUGUAUGGUAUUGCCAAUAAUAGCUACCAUCUAUUGAGUGCUUUACUACCUGUCAGGUACUGUAUUAUAUAAACUCCAUUUUAACUGUACCUCAUUUUGCAGAUACUCAGGCACAAGGAGGUGGUUAUUUGUCCAAACUGGAACCAAGAUUCAAACCCAGACAGAGUCUUAAGCACAUUUUUAAUCACUAACUAACUUGAGAUGCCUAAAUGCCAAAUACUGUUGGGAGUUCAAGUGGUUCUUGAUUAGCAAAAUCUAUUUUUAUUAGUGCAAAAGAAACACCACAGCUUAUAAAGUAUUAUGAAUUCAAUAAAUGGAGUCUUAACUAAUGAGAUAUUAUUUUCUAGAAUGGUGUAGCUGAGAGUAUGUGUGAUUCAACUGAAAGGAAUAAUGUUUAAUCAGUGACUCUUACUAUAUACAGGAAAAGGUGCAGUUCUGUCUUUCAAAUCUGCCUCCUUACCAUAUUGGCUUACAUCCCUCAUGCUGUUUUCUUGUGUUUGCUAGAAAGUUGUUGCCAAGCCAAAUGUCAUGGCCAUGUUGAAGGCAAGGAAGAAAAAAUGGAAAUGGCCUGUGCCAGCUAUAUAUAUCGCCUUUUAUGAGGGAAAGCAAAGCUUUCUCAGAAAUCCCAAAUGGAUUUUCCCUUGACUUAAUUGCCUGACCAGUUAAAUGGCCACUGGUACCUGCAAAGAAAGCAGGGUACAUAGCUGUCCCAAAUAAAAUCAGUAUUAGCAAGAAGAAAGAAUAUUGAGAAAGCAAUUAACAGUGUCUGUGACUGUGACAUGUCUGUGACUUUAUAUUGUCAAGUCCUUUCCCCUUGAAUAUAGUUUUGGAAGAAUUAGCUGAAGGAGUGUGUUGACAUUGAAUGGCCAAGAGAAUGGGCUGUAGCAGACAUCUGUCAUUUCUCUUUUGGCUGCCCAGUAUCCUAACUCCUGUGUUUAAGGAAUCCCUCACCUAAUGAGGCAGAGCAUUUCUUCCUCCUAAAGAAUUUGAAAGUACCAGGUAAUGUUUUCUCAGCCUCCUUUUGCAGCUAAGGAAGAAACAUCUGCCUUCAAUUUUAAAAUUAGUGAUACAAAGAAGGAGGGAACCAUGCAGAUUCCUUUGAAGAUGGUGAUUAACAACACUACUGCAUUCAUCUCCACAGAGGUACAGCAAAAGUGAUUUAGUUAGCGAUAACCUCUAAUUCUAUUUUUUUAUUUUUAUUUUUUGAGACAGUCUUGCUCUGUCAACCAGGCUGGAGUGCAGUAGCACUGUCUUAACUCACUGCAACCUCCACCUCCUGGGUUCAAGCGAUUCUCCUGCCUCAGCCUCCCAAGUCGCUGGGAUUACAAGUGCCCACCACCAUGCACAGCUAAUUUUUGUGUUUUUAGUAGAUGGGGUUUCUCCAUGUUGGCCAGGCUGGUCUCGAACUUAUGACUUCAGGUGAUCCGCCCGCCUUGGCCUCCCAAAGUGCUGGGAUUAUAGGCGUGAGCCACUGUGCCUGGCCUGUAACCUCUAAUUCUUGUUUGCUGGCUGUCCUAGAGAUCCUGAGAAUUACUUUUAAUAAAAUCAUUUUUUUGCUGUUAUUAAAACUAACCUGAAUUGCCUAAAACCAAGAACUCUGCUUGAUAAAAUAAGCAUAGUUUUAGGAACAGCCAUGCAGAUAUAAAUUUUAUCAACACUUUAUACAUAAUUUGGGACUUAUAUUUAAAUGUAAUAUUUGAUGCUUAUAAAAGGGUAAAUGGGGAAUGCAAAUAAAUUAUCAAGCAUAAUAACUCAUCACCUAACUUAAGAAUAACAUUAUGAGUGCUUGUAUUUUAUCUAUUUGAGCUCUUCUCCUAUCUUUGCCGACCCCCCCGCUCUCUUUUUAAUAGAUUUGUUCGAAUGUAGAAAGACCUAAAAUACAUAUGUAUCCCUAAAGUGACUUAUUUUAUAGUUUUCUUUCUUUUUGAACUUCAAAAAAAUUGUAUCAUACUCUAUGUAGUCUAAGGAUUUGGUUUUUUUCACUCAACAUGUCUCUAGAAUUCACAAGUUUUAUUGUUUUAUAGCUGUCAUUUUCAUUGAUGUAUAUUUCAUUGUUGGGUUAUACAACAUAUUGUUAAGGAAUACAUACAUAUAUAAUAAAUUAUACAUUUUUUAAAAAAA